rnacentral:rRNA from 1 species
UACUAAGUGGUAGGAGAGCGUUCUAUUUGCGUCGAAGGUAUACCGGUAAGGAGUGCUGGAGCGAAUAGAAGUGAGCAUGCAGGCAUGAGUAGCGAUAAUUAAUGUGAGAAUCAUUAACGCCGUAAACCCAAGGUUUCCUACGCGAUGCUCGUCAUCGUAGGGUUAGUCGGGUCCUAAGUCGAGUCCGAAAGGGGUAGACGAUGGCAAAUUGGUUAAUAUUCCAAUACCAACAUUAGUGUGCGAUGGAAGGACGCUUAGGGCUAAGGGGGCUAGCGGAUGGAAGUGCUAGUCUAAGGUCGUAGGAGGUUAUACAGGCAAAUCCGUAUAACAAUACUCCGAGAACUGAAAGGCUUUUUGAAGUCUUCGGAUGGAUAGAAGAACCCCUGAUGCCGUCGAGCCAAGAAAAGUUUCUAAGUUUAGCUAAUGUUGCCCGUACCGUAAACCGACACAGGUGGGUGGGAUGAGUAUUCUAAGGCGCGUGGAAGAACUCUCUUUAAGGAACUCUGCAAAAUAGCACCGUAUCUUCGGUAUAAGGUGUGGUUAGCUUUGUAUUAGGAUUUACUCCGAAAGCAAGGAAACUUACAACAAAGAGUCCCUCCCGACUGUUUACCAAAAACACAGCACUCUGCUAACUCGUAAGAGGAUGUAUAGGGUGUGACGCCUGCCCGGUGCUCGAAGGUUAAUUGAUGGGGUUAGCAUUAGCGAAGCUCUUGAUCGAAGCCCGAGUAAACGGCGGCCGUAACUAUAACGGUCCUAAGGUAGCGAAAUUCCUUGUCGGUUAAAUACCGACCUGCAUGAAUGGCGUAACGAGAUGGGAGCUGUCUCAAAGAGGGAUCCAGUGAAAUUGUAGUGGAGGUGAAAAUUCCUCCUACCCGCGGCAAGACGGAAAGACCCCGUGGACCUUUACUACAGCUUGACACUGCUACUUGGAUAAGAAUGUGCAGGAUAGGUGGGAGGCUUUGAGUAUAUGACGCCAGUUGUAUAUGAGCCAUUGUUGAGAUACCACUCUUUCUUAUUUGGGUAGCUAACCAGCUUGAGUUAUCCUCAAGUGGGACAAUGUCUGGUGGGUAGUUUGACUGGGGCGGUCGCCUCCCAAAUAAUAACGGAGGCUUACAAAGGUUGGCUCAGAACGGUUGGAAAUCGUUCGUAGAGUAUAAAGGUAUAAGCCAGCUUAACUGCAAGACAUACAAGUCAAGCAGAGACGAAAGUCGGUCUUAGUGAUCCGGUGGUUCUGUGUGGAAGGGCCAUCGCUCAAAGGAUAAAAGGUACCCCGGGGAUAACAGGCUGAUCUCCCCCAAGAGCUCACAUCGACGGGGAGGUUUGGCACCUCGAUGUCGGCUCAUCGCAUCCUGGGGCUGGAGCAGGUCCCAAGGGUAUGGCUGUUCGCCAUUUAAAGCGGUACGCGAGCUGGGUUCAGAACGUCGUGAGACAGUUCGGUCCCUAUCUGCCGUGGGCGUAAGAAGAUUGAAGAGAUUUGACCCUAGUACGAGAGGACCGGGUUGAACAAACCACUGGUGUAGCUGUUGUUCUGCCAAGAGCAUCGCAGCGUAGCUAAGUUUGGAAAGGAUAAACGCUGAAAGCAUCUAAGCGUGAAGCCAACUCUAAGAUGAAUCUUCUCUAAGCUCUCUAGAAGACUACUAGUUUGAUAGGCUGGGUGUGUAAUGGAUGAAAGUCCUUUAGCUGACCAGUACUAAUAGAGCGUUUGGCUUAUCUUUAAUAAAGCAU